rnacentral:tRNA from 1 species
GGGGAAUUAGCUUACGUGGUAGAGCACUCGCUUAGCAUGCGAGAGGUAGUAGGAUCGACAUCCACAUUCUCCA